AUUGAACGCUGGCGGCAGGCCUAACACAUGCAAUUCGCGCGAGCGGCGGACGGGUGAGUAAUGUAUUGGGCCUGCCCGAUAGAGGGGGAUAACUACUUGAACCGGUAGCUAAUAACGCAUACUAUCGGAUAACCCAUAUGGGAUUAGCUAGUAGGUGAGGUAAUGGCUCACCUAGGCGACGAUCCCUAGCUGGUCUGAGAGGAUGAUCAGCCACACUGGGACUGAGACACGGCCCAGACUCCUACGGAGGCAGCAGUGGGGAAUAUUGCACAAUGGGCGCAAGCCUGAUGCAGCCAUGCCGCGUGUAUGAAGAAGGCCCUAGGGUUGUAAAGUACUUUCAGUCGGGAGGCGUUACCGACAGAAGAAGCACCGGCUAACUCCGUGCCAGCCGCCGCGGUAAUAC
rnacentral:rRNA from 1 species